GAAAUCAUAAUUCACAAAAAAUGUCCCAAGUAUUUAUUGAACUUAUUGAUAUACAACCUUUCAUGUAUUAGUGCAGCUCAAAGCUCUUCACAUUCAAAUCAAUAUAAUUAAAUGUAGAAUAAACAAUGCUAAACCAAUUCUAAAGUCCAACAACAAUAUUAUUCAGAUCGAUUAGGAAAACACUCAAACAAUAUUGGGGGGAAACUAUCAGUCAGCCAGCAGCCUUGAACCCCGAUAGGGAGAGAGGGGUCUGGCUGCAGACCUCCACCCACACGCUCCAGACAUCCACCGACAGAACUUCCGCUGCAGACAUCAACCCACAGAAACAUCCACCAACAAACCGGAAAUUGCAAAAAAAAAUUAAAUGUUGUUUUUCACUGUGCAAGCGCGAGUUGCAAAUUCUAUGAAAGGGACGGGACUGCACGAAGAUGUGACACUUCGGUUCAGCUGCACUUGGGACUUAUGAUGCAUCACUCGUUUUUUAACGAUGUUUCAAAGCCAGAAGUCAUCUUUGAUUUUCAGGAAGACAUGGAUGUCUUCUUUAACAUGGCAGCUGAGGAGGAUCUUCAUGUCAACGCCAUGUUCCUACUCAUCCCAACUCAUUGACAUUUCUGUGUGUGUGUGUGUGUGUGUGUGUGUGUGUGUGUGUGUGUGUGUGUGUGUGUGUGUGUGUGUGUGUGUGUGUGUGUGUGUGUGUGUUGAGGUUCUGAGUUUGGUUAUCUGUUGAGUGUAUGACGCGCUUCUGAAUAAAGUGUUAAAACGUU